rnacentral:rRNA from 1 species
AGUGAACGCUGGCGGUAGGCCUAACACAUGCAAGUCGAACGGCAGCACAGUAAGAGCUUGCUCUUACGGGUGGCGAGUGGCGGACGGGUGAGGAAUACAUCGGAAUCUACUUUUUCGUGGGGGAUAACGUAGGGAAACUUACGCUAAUACCGCAUACGACCUACGGGUGAAAGCAGGGGAUCUUCGGACCUUGCGCGAUUGAAUGAGGCGAUGUCGGAUUAGCUAGUUGGCGGGGUAAAGGCCCACCAAGGCGACGAUCCGUAGCUGGUCUGAGAGGAUGAUCAGCCACACUGGAACUGAGACACGGUCCAGACUCCUACGGGAGGCAGCAGUGGGGAAUAUUGGGCAAUGGGCGCAAGCCUGAUCCAGCCAUACCGCGUGGGUGAAGAAGGCCUUCGGGUUGUAAAGCCCUUUUGUUGGGAAAGAAAAGCAGCAGGUUAAUACCCCGCUGUUCUGACGGUACCCAAAGAAUAAGCACCGGCUAACUUCGUG